AGACCUGUAGCAGCUGGGAGUCCAGCAAUUAUUCUUGCCGGUUUUCCCAGGACGAGGCUUAUCCUUGUGCUCCUGAUGUGCUCACCCCUGCAAUUUCCCCAAAUGUGGGAAACUCAACUGCAGAAUUUGUGGUAAUGGGGGAUCGUGUUUGCAUUCUCCCUGA
ensembl:snRNA U1 U1 spliceosomal RNA